rnacentral:lncRNA from 1 species
AUUUCAGGCCAGAUUUCUCACCGUUAGGGGUCAGAAGUGCUGAUCAAUUUUGUUUAAACUGGCCGUCGGGAAGAGAUUACCACUACAAAGGGAACGAAAACACUAGCAAAAUAGUAGAAAUAGUUAGAAGAGUAAACGCACAGCGAUUUCUGUCUAUUUCCCACAAUUGGACAGAAAUUUGACUUCCACAAUCACCAUGAUAGAUUACCCGUGAUUAAUUAAGACAAUAACCGGAAAUCCACGCGAAGAACAAGUUAAUUCGGAUCAAAAUUGAAAAAUCCCCAAAAACUGAAAUUAGGGUUCUUACCAAUAGUGCAAUCAUACAAACAAAAAUGGCUAAGUCACCACAUCAUCAAAUGUUUCUUAAAUAAAAAGAUUACCCAAGAACUUGACCCCAAAAUAAAAGAUAACAGUGCUAGGGACAAUUCCUAAAAAUGAGUUCUUGUUCAAAUUCAAGCAAGAGAUUGGAGUUAAUUCGAACUAAAAUCAAAUUUCUGAAGAACAAGUCAAUUCGGAUCAAAAUUGAAAAAUCCCCAAAAACUGAAAUUAGGGUUCUUACCUUGGGUGUAGCGGAAUUUAAGUGAAACUGAACCCACAAGCCUAAGAUUUUGAUGAAAUAUGAAGAUUGAAGCCAAGUUUUGCAAGUGAUUUCAAAAGGUUUGAUGAAAAAAAUGAAAAUUUUGCGGUGAAAAUGGGGGGAGGGGCGGCGGGUUUAAGAGCAAAGAGGGAGAGAAAUUGUGAAGUGGGCUGACAGAUUCUUUUUUCCAUUUAUUUAUCUUUUAUUUUUUUUUAUGACUGACCUCGUGGCUGCUGCCAAGGUGCGUGGCCGCGGCUAUCUUAAAAGAUUUUUUAUUUUUUUUGUUAAAGUUAACCUUCCACUUAAAUCCUUAAAAAUCAAAUGAAUAAAAAAUUAAAGAAGGCGAAGCCCUCUUAUCCAUUCAAUUAGGGGACUGAAAUGCAAUUUUCCCCAUAAAUGCACCAAACCUAGUUAAAGCUCCCUCCUUGUGCCACCUCUUUCCUUCCCAUGUAUUGACAAGUUUUCGGGAAGAUUGUGUCACCUGGUGGCGCUGAUUUUCACGCGGCGGCGCUAGGGUUUGAGAAUAUUCACGAUUUUGAGUUGGGAUUCAAUUGUCAGUGAUCUAAUCUUUCAAUUACUGCUGUAAUCGAUCAUAGGUAAUCUACCCAUCAUGUAUCUGAUUGGGGCUGUUUAUGGUUAAUUUUUGUGGUGGUAGUUGCAAUUUUGCGUUUGCUGCUACGCGUUUGCACUGAUUUAUUAAACAUUUCAUCAAUGUUCUUGGAGCUUUGGAUACUUCGAUUAAGAUUUAUGGGGGUUGAGUUGUUUUUGGUGCUUGAAUCAAAGCAAUUCUUUGCAUUUCUUGGCGAAUAAAAGCAAGUCGCGGCGGUGGGAGCAGCGGGGACAGUCGGAGCAGCGGUGGCAAACUGCUUUUAACCCUAUAAAAUUUGAACCCUUCUCGAUUCAAAUCGUUGAAUAAAUCGUAAAUUUAUAUAAAAAAACAUAAGAUUUACGAUAAUGAUGUAAUACACCAAUAAAAUAUGCACUGAAAGUUUACAUUGGGACAAAAUACACACGGAUAUAAUAAUAAUAAUAAUAAUAAUAAUAAUAAUAAUAAUAAUAAUAAUAAUAAUAAUAAUAAUAAUAAUAAUAAUAAUAAUAAUAAUAAUAAUAAUAAUAAUAAUAAUAAUAAUAAUAAUAAUAAUAAUAAUAAUAAUAAUAAUAAUAAUAAUAAUAAUAAUAAUAAUAAUAAUAAUAAUAAUAAUAAUAAUAAUAAUAAUAAUAAUAAUAAUAAUAAUAAUAAUAAUAAUAAUAAUAAUAAUAAUAAUAAAUUACAAACACCCCCUGAGAUAUGGUCAAAUUACAAAAAUCCCCCUCUUGUUUGAAUAAUUACAUCUACCCCCCUCAACUAUGAUUUUUUCUUAGACCUCCACCUUUAUGGUGCCAAAUUCAACAUAGUCAUCUAGAUUCCGUGAAAUGUGCUCUAGUUUGUACUCUUUUUGUGUAAAAAAUACAGUUUUCGAUGCACCACAAACUGAUAUAUACAAGCUAAAUAUCACAUAUUAUGAUCAUCUUGCUUCAUAAUAUAGUGUUUGAAUGGGAUAAAACGGGUACAAAAGUGAUAAUAUUCCAUAUAAUCUCGAAGAUUCCACUAAAUUUGAUGAGUUGAGGGGGUGGUUGUAAUUAUCCAAACAAGAGGGGUGUUUUUGUAAUUUGACCAUACCUCAGGGGGGUGUUUGUAAUUUACCCUAAUAAUAAUAAUAAUAGUAAUAGUAAUAGUAAUAGUAGUAGUAGUAGUAGUAGUAGUAGUAGUAGUAGUAGUAGUAGUAGUAGUAGUAGUAGUAGUAAUAGUAAUAGUAAUAGUAAUAGUAAUAGUAAUAGUAAUAGUAAUAGUAAUAGUAAUAGUAAUAAUAAUAGUAAUAAUAAUAAUACAAAAGAAUUAGUUUCUAGCAACAAUUAUAUUUAUAUUCACAACAAAAUUAUAUUCGCAAGAGUUUUAUUUUUUUGCGAAUAGUAUAUUACCUGUGUAGAAAAUUUCAUCGCAACGCCACAAAGGGAGUGAUAAAAAAAUACAUUCUUCUUGCAAAUAUAAUAAAAUUGUUGCGUGGUGCACCGGUGCUAAUGGUAAAUCGAAAUAUUGAUGAGUUCAUGUAUGUAAAUUAAUCCAUAAUAUAUUGAUUUGCUUAGAAAAGAUUGCAAUAUCAUAUUUAUUUUAAAUAAUUCUAUUUUUUCUUGAAUGAAUAUUUAUAUUCGUCCGAGUUUGUGCAUUUUUAGGGUCGUUUAUCGAGUUGAUUUGGUGAUUACUCACCGAUGAUAUUGUAACAACAAAUUCUUAUCUGCGAUAUAAACAAACAAGAAAAAUUGAACAAAGAUGAUUUUAUUGAAUUAAAAUAAAUAAAUUGCGGGUUACAAUCUCUAUUUUAAUCCUCUGAUUCUUCUCUCUAGAACAAUAUAUAGUUGACUUGAAUUUUCGGAGUCGGGUCGUUGACUUGAUCUUCUCCGGAUUUGAUUUUGGAUUUGAAUAACGUUUUCCAAGGGUCUUGCGACUUGAAUCUCGGAUCGAACGUUGAACUUUGACUAAAUUUGACUUGAAGAUCUUGAAGUUCUUGAUGGAUUUGGCCCUUCAAUCUUCCAAUGAUCUUGACUUGAAUUUGAUUAACGUUAAUCCGAAGGUUUGGCACCGUUUCGGAUCGAACGCUGGAUUUGAUGAAAAAUGCCUUGAAUUUGCUCAAGAACACCUCGAAUUUGACGAAGAACACUUUGAAUGUAGAGAGAGAAUCUUACCUCCUACGAAUUCUUCUUCCUUGCUUCUGAAUUGUAGAGAGAAUUUCGCUCCUACGAUUUCUGCUCCUUCAGUUGUGUUUGAAUUGUGAAGGGAGGGUCCCUAUUUAUAGUGGCAGAACAAGAGUUCUUGAUGGGCCUUACUGAUGAUGUGGCACGAUUUGAUUGGCUCGAUUUAAAUUGAUAUUUAUCUCUUGUAACUUGGAAGAAAAAAAAUAAUCUGAUUGGCCAAUAAUUAAUUGAUAUUUAUUUCUUAUAACUUGUGAAAGAAGAAAUAAUUCUAUUGGUCAAUAUAUAUUUAAAAUCAAUUAUCUAUUUAAAUUAAGAAUUAAUUAAAAUUCUUAAUAUUAAAAUAGAAAACAUAUAAUUGAUAUUUAAUAUAUAUAAUAUAUAUAUGAUUUUUACGCAUUGAUAUAUAUAUAUAUAAAUGACUUUGAAUGCUUAAUUACAUAUUUGCCACUUGAAUAAAUUCACUCGGCUCUAUGAAAAUUAGCAAUUUAAUUGCUUGAAAAUUUGUUCGUCUACAGAUAUAUUUGGGAAUUAGAAUUUUCACGGCGAAGGAAAUAUUCUGGUAGUGUAUUUAUAUUUGUCGCUCUUAAGUGAUAAUAAAAAUAAAAUUCCUAAAAUAUUAAAAAAUGUUUUGAAAAUAUACAAAAACUAUUACGCUGAUUGGGUUUGAGUUUUAGUUUUAUUUCAAAUUUUGUUUAAUAGUUUUUUAACUUUUUUAUAUUUUCCAAACAUAGUUUAAUAGAUACACGGUGCAUCUUCUGGUCAAAUUAUAUUAAUUUGGUGAGUGAAAUAUCAAUUGAAAGUCGUUGGAACCAUUAACUUUUCUGCACUCGCGUCUCCUCCGAGCGGCGAUUAGACAUCAAUUGAAGUGGUUGAAAUUAUUAAUUGCCUAAUGUAUUACUUGCGUUCCCACAAGAGAAAACAUGAAGAGGAGAGAAAGACGAAGAGAAGACGAGGAAGACGAAGUGGAUUACUUGCGACCCGACCGCCGAGUCCAUUGCUUCUAGUAGCACUCCGGUAAAUUGUGUUCUGCUUUUCUCUGUUUUUUCGAAAUAAUGUUGGUCUUAGUGUCAUAUACUUUGGAGGUGCGAUAUACUUUCGUAAAUUUCUACUAUUCGCUUAGCCACUUUUUUUGCAGCUUUUUCAUUUGUUAGAAAGCUGUUUAGAGGUUGUAAUAGCAAGGAAACAUCCUUUUUUGUGUGGCUCUGCUUUUCUCUGUUUUUUCGAAAUUAUGUUGGUCUUAGUGUCAUAUACUUUGGAGGUGCGAUAUACUUUCUUAAGCAGAAAUCGAAGCGACAAAAAGAGGUGAAAUCGUAAAUUUCUACUAUAAGCCGCUAGUUCUAGUUUUUGGGUCCAUGAACACGAGUCUUCAAUGGUUUAGUACCCUCAGCGAAGUUUAGCCACUUUUUUUGCAGUUUUUUCGUUUGUUAGAAAGCUGUUUAGAGGUUGUAAUAGGAAGGAAACAUCCUUUUUGUGUGGCUAUCUUAGCUGAGAGGUUAACUGUGGGUGCUGGACUUUGAAGAUUCUUGUAAGUGGCCCUGUUUUUAAUGUUUUUAGCUUCUGAACUACUAGCUAGGGUUGAAGCUUGUCCUGUGGAUCUUUGUAGUGUCUUUGUUAAGGUUGUUUUACGGUUGCUGUUGGCAGUUUCACAGAAUGUGCUUUGGCCGUGGGAGCCAUUUGUUUUGCUCUGCCAUGACGACCAAUUUUUAUUUUGCCGAGCACUAGUUUUGCAGGUUUCUCUCCUGACCCUGUCAGGAUCGAUUACUUGGUUCUAAAUUUAUAUGUGACAUAAUCUUGCUUCUUGUUCCUUAUCUUAUUCAUAAGUUUGAUUUUGUCUUGUUUAUUUAUCGUAGAUGCCAGCCCAUUGGAAUAUUCCCGAUGUGUCAACACUCUCCUAACUAUGCCACAAAAUGGUAGAAGACUCCGGUUUACAAGAAAACCUUCGUCAUCUACGUUGGGAAGAGAUCAGUAAGUCUUUCCAUGACAAAGGAAGUGUAUUUUCACCACAACAAUGUAAAGACAAGUUUGACAGAUGAGAAGCACGUGGCUGACAUUUUACAAGAAGAGGGCCAAAGUUGGUCGUGAGUCUUAUGGUUUGGAGAUUGACGACAACACCGGGAUGCUAAUUGGUACCGUGCCAGACAUGUCAGCCCACCUCCAUGUAAUUUAGGAUGCUGAUUUUGUGUGUUCUUUUAUUGCUGAAUAUAUAAAUUUCUUACUGAUUUUGUUUCAUUUUUUUUUUCAGGAGGCUGGUAAAAGGGCAUUUAAAUGCUUCUUGGCAGAUCCGGACCUCUUCGACAAGUGCACGGACAUAUUCAUCAAGCACACUUCCAGAGCAGCUUUAACCUAUUCGAAGCAGAUAACCGGUAGCAGCAAGCGGGGUGCCGAUGAAAUGCAAACUUCCACUUUGCGGAAUCAGAGACAGAAGACUGACGACGUGGCGAAGGUUCCUUCUUUUACGGAAUGCUAUCAUAUAUUAAAGGCCAUACCAGGGUGCCGACGUCGUGGCGAAGCUUGUGGUACUGCUAAUAAAUGCCGACUCUAGUGAAAUGUUUGCGUUAUUAACUCCGGAGGAGAGGCUCCAUUGGGUCAAAAAUAACUAAUGAAAACAAAUUUUAACAUUUUUAAUUAUUUGUAUGUCCGACUAUUUGUAUAAUUUCGUACUUGUUUUAUUUUGGUUGUUACUUAAAACAUUAUUAAUAUUGUAACAACCGACCAAUUUUCCAAGUUGGGUUGGUUGUAUAGUGUUCUUAACAUUAUUAUUA